ACGGAAGGCAGCAGUGGGGGAUAUUGCACAAUGGGGGAAACCCUGAUGCAGCGACGCCGCGUGAGUGAAGAAGUAUUUCGGUAUGUAAAGCUCUAUCAGCAGGGAAGAGAAUGACGGUACCUGAGUAAGAAGCCCCGGCUAACUACGUGCCAGCAGCCGCGGUAAUACGUAGGGGGCAAGCGUUAUCCGGAUUUACUGGGUGUAAAGGGAGCGUAGACGGCAAAGCAAGUCUGAAGUGAAAGCCCGGGGCUCAACCCCGGGACUGCUUUGGAAACUGUUCUGCUAGAGUGCUGGAGAGGUAAGCGGAAUUCCUAGUGUAGCGGUGAAAUGCGUAGAUAUUAGGAGGAACACCAGUGGCGAAGGCGGCUUACUGGACAGUAACUGACGUUGAGGCUCGAAAGCGUGGGGAGCAAACAGGAUUAGAUACCCUGGUA
rnacentral:rRNA from 1 species